rnacentral:tRNA from 1 species
GCCUAGGUGGUGAAAUCGGUAGACACAAGGGAUUUAAAAUCCCUCGGCCUUAAGGCUGUGCGGGUUCAAGUCCCGCCCUGGGCACCA